GACGAAGGGGGCUAGCGUUGUUCGGAAUUACUGGGCGUAAAGGGCGCGUAGGCGGAUGUUUAAGUCAGCGGUGAAAGCCCAGGGCUCAACCUUGGAACUGCCAUUGAUACUGGACAUCUUGAGUACGGGAGAGGUGAGUGGAACUCCGAGUGUAGAGGUGAAAUUCGUAGAUAUUCGGAAGAACACCAGUGGCGAAGGCGACUCACUGGCCCGUUACUGACGCUGAGGCGCGAAAGCGUGGGGAGCAAACAGG
rnacentral:rRNA from 1 species